CAGAGUUGCAAGACUCCCUAAACCAUUGUGAACCUACCUUCUGCCGUUGCUUCGGCGGGCGGGCCCAGCGCCCCCCCGGCCCCCCGCGGGCGCCCGCCGGAGGAUACCCAAACUCUUGACAUUAGUGGCCUCUCUGAGUAUUCUUUACUGAAUAAGUCA
rnacentral:misc_RNA from 1 species